UACGUAGGGCGCGAGCGUUAUCCGGAAUUAUUGGGCGUAAAGAGCUCGUAGGUGGUUUGUCACGUCUGCCGUGAAAGCCCAAGGCUUAACCUUGGGUCUGCGGUGGGUACGGGCAGGCUAGAGUGCAGUAGGGGAGACUGGAAUUCCUGGUGUAGCGGUGAAAUGCGCAGAUAUCAGGAGGAACACCGAUGGCGAAGGCAGGUCUCUGGGCUGCAACUGACGCUGAGGAGCGAAAGCGUGGGGAGCGAACAGG
rnacentral:rRNA from 1 species